GACGAACGCUGGCGGCGUGCUUAACACAUGCAAGUCGAACGGAAAGGCCCUGCUUUUGUGGGGUGCUCGAGUGGCGAACGGGUGAGUAACACGUGAGUAACCUGCCCUUGACUUUGGGAUAACUUCAGGAAACUGGGGCUAAUACCGGAUAGGAGCUCCUGCUGCAUGGUGGGGGUUGGAAAGUUUCGGCGGUUGGGGAUGGACUCGCGGCUUAUCAGCUUGUUGGUGGGGUAGUGGCUUACCAAGGCUUUGACGGGUAGCCGGCCUGAGAGGGUGACCGGCCACAAGGGGACUGAGAUACGGCCCAGACUGCAACGGGAGGCAGCGGUGGGAAAUAUUGCACAAUGGGCGGAAGCCUGAUGCAGCAACGCCGCGUGCGGGAUGACGGCCUUCGGGUUAUAAACCGCUUUCGCCUGUGACGAAGCGUGAGUGACGGUAAUGGGUAAAGAAGCACCGGCUAACUACGUG
rnacentral:rRNA from 1 species